AACGAACGCUGGCGGCAGGCUUAACACAUGCAAGUCGAGCGCCCCGCAAGGGGAGCGGCAGACGGGUGAGUAACGCGUGGGAAUCUACCCAUCUCUACGGAAUAACGCAUGGAAACGUGUGCUAAUACCGUAUACGUCCUUCGGGAGAAAGAUUUAUCGGAGAUGGAUGAGCGCGCGUUGGAUUAGCUAGUUGGUGGGGUAAAGGCUUACCAAGGCGACGAUCCAUAGCUGGUCUGAGAGGAUGAUCAGCCACACUGGGACUGAGACACGGCCCAGACUCCUACGGGAGGCAGCAGUGGGGAAUAUUGGACAACGGGCGCAAGCCUGAUCCAGCCAUGCCGCGUGAGUGAUGAAGGCCCUAGGGUUGUAAAGCUCUUUCACCGGUGAAGAUAAUGACGGUAACCGGAGAAGAAGCCCCGGCUAACUUCGUGCCAGCCGCCGCCGUAAGAC
rnacentral:rRNA from 1 species